GAUGAACGCUGACAGAAUGCUUAACACCUGCAAGUCAACUUGAAUUUGGGUUUUUAACUUAGAUUUGGGUGGCGGACGGGUGAGUAACGCGUAAAGAACUUGCCUCACAGCUAGGGACAACAUUUAGAAAUGAAUGCUAAUACCUGAUAUUAUGAUUUUAAGGCAUCUUAGAAUUAUGAAAGCUAUAAGCACUGUGAGAGAGCUUUGCGUCCCAUUAGCUAGUUGGAGAGGUAACAGCUCACCAAAGCGAUGAUGGGUAGCCGGCCUGAGAGGGUGAACGGCCACAAGGGGACUGAGACACGGCCCUUACUCCUACGGGAGGCAGCAGUGGGGAAUAUUGGACAAUGGACCGAGAGUCUGAUCCAGCAAUUCUGUGUGCACGAUGAAGUUUUUCGGAAUGUAAAGUGCUUUCAGUUGGGAAGAAACAAAUGACGGUACCAACAGAAGAAGUAACGGCUAAAUACGUGCCAGCAGCCGCGGUAAUACGUAUGUCACGAGCGUUAUCCGGAUUUAUUGGGCGUAAAGCGCGUCUAGGUGGUUAUGUAAGUCUGAUGUGAAAAUGCAGGGCUCAACUCUGUAUUGCGUUGGAAACUGUAUAACUAGAGUACUGGAGAGGUAAGCGGAACUACAAGUGUAGAGGUGAAAUUCGUAGAUAUUUGUAGGAAUGCCGAUGGGGGAAGCCAGCUUACUGGACAGAUACUGACGCUAAAGCGCGAAAGCGUGGGUAGCAAACAGG
rnacentral:rRNA from 1 species